AAGGGCAAUGAUGGAUUUUGCAUAAUCGGACAUAGUACGAUAAGGUUGUAUGUCUAAAGGGAAACAGCCCAGAACAAGAGUUAAAGGUUCCAAAAUUAUUGUUAAGUGAAAAUAAGGAAGUUUUCUUCAAAUACAACCAGGAAAUAGGCUUAGAAGCGGCCAUUUUUUGAAGACCUCGUAACAGAGCACUGGUUUAACAUUAAAAGUUGAAAGCACCGAAAAUUUAACGGAUCUAAAACAAUAUACCGAAACCUUGUCUAUAAAUAAA
rnacentral:ncRNA from 1 species